CGUAGGGGCGAGCGUUGUCCGGAAUCACUGGGCGUAAAGGGUUCGCAGGCGGAUAAACAAGUCAAGAGUAAAAGGCAUGGGCUUAACCCAUGUAAGCUAUUGAAACUGUUUAUCUUGAGAUGUGGAGAGGUAAGUGGAAUUACUAGUGUAGCGGUGAAAUGCGUAGAUAUUAGUAGGAAUACCAGUAGCGAAGGCGACUUACUGGACACAAACUGACGCUGAGGAACGAAAGCGUGGGUAGCAAACAGGAUU
rnacentral:rRNA from 1 species